rnacentral:rRNA from 1 species
AUUGAACGCUGGCGGCAGGCCUAACACAUGCAAGUCGAACGAGUGGCGGACGGGUGAGUAAUGUCUGGGAAACUGCCUGAUGGAGGGGGAUAACUACUGGAAACGGUAGCUAAUACCGCAUACCAUCGGAUGUGCCCAGAUGGGAUUAGCUAGUAGGUGGGGUAACGGCUCACCUAGGCGACGAUCCCUAGCUGGUCUGAGAGGAUGACCAGCCACACUGGAAAUGAGACAAGGUCCAGACGCCUAAGGGAGGCAGCAGUGGGGAAUAUUGCACAAUGGGCGCAAGCCGGAUGCAGACAUGGAGCGUGUAUGAAGAAGGCCAUCGGGUUGUAAAGUAAUUUCAGCGGGGAGGCGUUACCCGCAGAAGAAGCACCGGCUAACUCCGUGCCAGCAGCCGCGGUAAUUC